CGGCGAGUGAACGGGGAAAAGCCCAACACCGAAUCCCUCAGCGCAAGUUGACGGGAAAUGUGGUGUUAAGGUGGCCCUUCGUGCUGAAUCAGGUGUCUUAAGUCCACCUGAUUGUGGCUCAAGCCCAGAGAGGGUGUAAGGCCCGUAGAGGCACUUGAUUCAGUACCCGGGGUUUACCUACGAGUCGGCUUGUUUGGGAAUGCAGGCCAAAGCGGGUGGUAAACUCCAUCCAAGGCUAAAUACUGGCACGAGUCCGAUAGCGGACAAGUACCGUGAGGGAAAGUUGAAAAGAACUUUGAAGAGAGAGUUCAAUAGUACGUGAAACCGCUUAGAGGCAAACGGAUGGUGCUCAAAUUGGUGCAGGGGAUUCAGCUGUUGUAAUUUGUCGAGUGUGUGGUCGUGUAUAGAUCCUAUAAUCUGGGACUAGCGGCUGCUAUUCAUGUUGGCUAUUACACGGUGCACUUUCCCUGUUUUCACCUUCGCCACGACCGACGAAACUGGCCACCCACGGCUGGGGUAAGGUGGCAAGCUACUUCGGUAGUUUGUUUUAUAGACCCUGGCGUUGGAUAUUGUUUGGGCAGGACGUCGGAGUUCUAGCGGUGUCCGCUCGCACUCUGCGGGCUCGUAUGUCAGCUAGCUUGGCUGCGCCGAUGCCAGUACUGGUAACCAGUACUGGUGUUGGUUGUGGUCUUGUCUUCUAAUUGGCCUCUACGAGUUUGACACCUAUAGUCUGUGGUGUACUAGUGGGUAGACUAUCCGACCCGUCUUGAAACACGGACCAAGGAGUCUAACAUGUGCGCGAGUCAUGGGGACUCUACGAAACCCAAAGGCGUAGUGAAAGUAAAGGCUUGCUUCUCGCAGGCUUAGGUGAGAUCUCGUGCAUUAUGAUUGGCGAGCGCAUCACCGGCCCGUCCUAUCUGUCUCUGUCAGUGGGGCGGCGCAAGAGCGUACACGUUGGGACCCGAAAGAUGGUGAACUAUGCUUGCGCAGCUCGAAGUCAGUGGAAACACUGAUGGAGGAGCGCAGCGUUUCUGACGUGCAAAUCGAUCGUCAAACGUGAGUAUAGGGGCGAAAGACUAAU
rnacentral:rRNA from 1 species